GACGUAGGGGGCGAGCGUUGUCCGGAAUUACUGGGCGUCAAGCGCGUGUAGGCGGGCCGGCAGGCGGCGUGUGAAAGACGGGGGCUCAACCCCCGGCCACCGCGCCGAACCGCUGGUCUUGGGACGGCGAGGGGCAACUGGAAUGGUCGGAGGAGCGGUGAAAUGCGUAGAGCCCGAUCAGAACACCGGUGGCGAAGGCGGGUUGCUGGAGCCGGGCCGACGCUGAGACGCGAAAGCGCGGGGAGCGAACGGG
rnacentral:rRNA from 1 species